AUCAAAACAACACAUACAAGUCAAAUUCAAAAUUUUCAGUUUUAAUCGUGAUUUUUAUGCAGAAAUAUUGUAGGAAAGUCGCCACAAUGAAGAAUACGUAUAAAAAAGCUCCUUAGAGUAACAUUCGGAUAAAAUUAUGGUAAAAAAAUCCCCAAAGCCUGAGCUAUCUGGGCUGGAAGAAUGUCCGGAUGGGAGCCAUGGGAGUAUGGGACCGCUCAGUCUCAGAGCCAAAGGAUCAUAAAGAAGUCUCGCAAAUUACGCAAAAAGAUGGCACUGAGUAAAGACGGUGGUGUUGAAACUAGCUAAGAUAUUGUGAAAGAAUUGUAAAGUUGGCUAGUGUGAAACAAACUAGACUGAAAGG